rnacentral:rRNA from 1 species
UACGUAGGGGGCAAGCGUUGUCCGGAAUUAUUGGGCGUAAAGGAGCGCGUAGGCGGCCCGGUAAGUCCGCUGUGAAAGUCAAAGGCUCAACCUUUGAAUGUCAGCGGAUACUGCCGGGCUAGAGUCCGGAAGAGGCGAGUGGAACUCCUGGUGUAGCGGUGGAAUGCGCAGAUAUCAGGAAGAACACCAACGGCGAAGGCAGCUCGCUGGGACGGAACUGACGCUAAGGCGCGAAAGCGUGGGGAGCGAACAGG